CAGUUAAGAAGAUUCUUCGGAUGAUUCUUGACUGACUGAGCGGCGGACGGGUGAGUAACGCGUGGGUGACCUGCCCCAUACCGGGGGAUAACAUUUGGAAACAGAUGCUAAUACCGCAUAAGAUUACAGUACCGCAUGGUGCAGGGGUAAAAACUCCGGUGGUAUGAGAUGGACCCGCGUCUGAUUAGUUAGUUGGUGGGGUAACGGCCUACCAAGGCGACGAUCAGUAGCCGACCUGAGAGGGUGACCGGCCACAUUGGGACUGAGACACGGCCCAAACUCC
rnacentral:rRNA from 1 species